rnacentral:rRNA from 1 species
GCUACGGGGGGCAGCAGUGAGGAAUAUUGGUCAAUGGGCGCGAGCCUGAACCAGCCAAGUAGCGUGAAGGAUGACUGCCCUACGGGUUGUAAACUUCUUUUAUAAAGGAAUAAAGUUAGGCACGUGUGCCGUUUUGUAUGUACUUUAUGAAUAAGGAUCGGCUAACUCCGUGCCAGCAGCCGCGGUAAUACGGAGGAUCCGAGCGUUAUCCGGAUUUAUUGGGUUUAAAGGGAGCGUAGAUGGAUGGUUAAGGCAGUUGUGAAAGUUUGCGGCUCAACCGUAAAAUUGCAGUUGAUACUGGGUGUCUUGAGUGCAGCUGAGGUAGGCGGAAUUCGUGGUGUAGCGGUGAAAUGCUUAGAUAUCACGAAGAACUCCGAUUGCGAAGGCAGCUUACUAAACUGUCACUGACAUUGAUGCUCGAAAGUGUGGGUAUCAAACAGGAUUAGAUACCCCUGUAGUC